UACGUAGGGUGCAAGCGUUGUCCGGAAUUAUUGGGCGUAAAGAGCUUGUAGGCGGUUUGUCGCGUCUGCUGUGAAAUUUCGGGGCUCAACCCCGAACUUGCAGUGGGUACGGGCAGACUAGAGUGUGGUAGGGGAGCCUGGAAUUCCUGGUGUAGCGGUGAAAUGCGCAGAUAUCAGGGGGAACACCGAUGGCGAAGGCAGGUCUCUGGGCCAUAACUGACGCUGAGAAGCGAAAGCAUGGGGAGCGAACAGG
rnacentral:rRNA from 1 species